GCGCCCCCACGAGCAGCCAUGGCCAUUACUAUCCGCCGCUUGUGCCGAUGCUUCUCAGGCGCCCCACCAGCCCUAAUCUCGCCUUAUGGAAGCCGCCGUCCCCAACUUCCUCGUGAAGACCCUCGUUUUCUUCAAACUCCAGAUCGCCCGACCCAUACAGUCCCGUCCCGGCGCCUUCGCUGUCCCCGGCAUGCCUCGGGCCCGGAACAGAUGCUCCAACGUGCCCCACAAGUGCUUGAUAAAAUGACACCAAGAAAAAAGAGGUAGUCAACGGUCUCCAGCCUAGAAUAG
rnacentral:lncRNA from 1 species